CACCCUCACAGCAGUCUCCAAGGGCCAACAGUAGGAGAGCUUCUAGCAGGCUCAAAAGAGAGAAAACUUAUCAGUCCUUCCUAGGAGGGGCCCUGGCUAAGAUGAGAGCCCUGGGAGGCAGGGAAAGGGUCCUGAUGACCCUGUAGCAUUCAUAGGAACCAAAGCCUCACGCUUCUGUGUGCCAUUUCUAUAAAGGCGACUUGGGGGAUCAGAGCCAUCCUGAGUCUUCUGGAAUCUGGCAGCCCCCACAAGAAGUUGUUUGCUUCAAUUCAAAAGCAGAAAGAUGUCAGUCUGUGUCCGGGUUUCCAGCCCCUCCCUGCACUCCUUUAGGCUGCAGAACUACCCAACCCUCUGUGUGCUUAGCCUGCAGCUGGAUUUGACCGGCACCAUCUCUGAUCACUGACCCCUUAAAAUCUGAAAGUGGUGCAGAGAAUUUCAGAAGCCCUCUUUAACCAGAGAAAUUGAAGCGAAUCUCAAGUUUAACCCAUGAGCCAGAGACCCAGCCACCAGUUGCUGAAGGCAGAGCUGCCGAUCAUCAGGAAGAAGAGCGACGUCGUGAAGAGAGAGAGGAGGUACCCUGCGAGAGCAAAGGGGAGCUACAGCUACAGGUCACGGCUCCUCCGCGGGAGGGUUCGGUCUGGGUGAGCUGGUGCGUCGGCACUGUGGAGGCAAACACAUGGCUGUGGCACCCCCUGCGGGGUGGGAGCCAGGGAGGCCGGCGCAGCCCCUGCCACACCCCGCAGCACUGGUAAGGGUGCACAUGACCUGCCCUUCCAUCUCCCCCGUGCCUUCCAAUUUCCAAAUGCUUUUGUUCGUUUUAUUUUGUUUGCUCAUCGUUACAGUCCUGUGAGGUAGGUGGCUUCUAAUGUUUUGAGAAAUGCUUAUUGAGCACCUACUGUGUGCUCAGCCCUGGAGUUGCAGGCGUUGUUUUGGUCUGUUGCUCCUGGAAGCAGACCCCCAAGCAACAGAUACAAAAACCUAUACGGUCAGCCCUCUACAGUUACAGGUUCUGCAGCUACAGAUUCAA